GCAAGUCGAGCGAGAAAGCCCUUCGGGGUGAGUACAGCGGCGGACGGGUGAGUAACGCGUAGGAAUCUACCCAGUAGUGGGGGACAAUUUGGGGAAACCCAAGCUAAUACCGCAUACGCCCUACGGGGGAAAGCGGGGGACCUUCGGGCCUCGCGCUAUUGGAUGAGCCUGCGUUGGAUUAGCUAGUUGGUGGGGUAAUGGCCUACCAAGGCGACGAUCCGUAGCUGGUCUGAGAGGACGAUC
rnacentral:rRNA from 1 species